CCAGAGAAACCCAGUGACUACUAUCCACCAGAAAAACCGAUCGACUACUAUCCACCAGAGAAACCCAGUGACUACUAUCCACCAGAAAAACCGAUCGACUACUAUCCACCAG